UCUACUCAGUCUUUCCCAUGAACCGAAAAUUUGGAAUUGGCUAUAAGACUGGAAAAGAAAUCACAUACAAAAAAAUAUUUGGGAAAAAAAUUCCUUUACCAGAUCACUCAUAGCAAAAAAAAAAAAAUCACAACCACACAACACUGCUACUGCCUAGCCAAGCCACCACCAUCAUCAUCCACCAGAACCAAAUCAAAUAAACACUUUAACCACAAAAGCCAAGUGAACCACUAAGCAGCCUCGGCCACCGAUCCAAUCACCCCAAAAAUCGUAACCCAUUGCUCAUCUACCUAAAAAACCCAUUUGGCCUAACCUAAAAAAAAAUCCACAAAAAAUCACACAAAAAAAAGCACAUCCCUUUUCAGCGAGCCAUAGCAAAAAAAAAAAAAAAGAUACAAAAAAGGGGCUUUCGGUUUGGGGUGUUUGAGGGAGAUCGAUGCUCGAUUUUGGGUGGAAGAAACAGGCAAGGAAGGGGAAGCAAUAUAGUAUAAAAUGGAGGCUUUUAGCGUGGCAAAGGGGGGGUUUUGGCUUCGAAACCUAUGGCUUUCAAGGUCAAAUCUAGGUUGUUCGGGGGGUUUUCUGGCAAAACCAAGGCCGGAAUAGCAAAGAGGGGAUCAAGAAGGUCGUGUAGGCAAAAUUUGAAGAUUAUUCUAGGUUGUAGG
rnacentral:lncRNA from 1 species